rnacentral:rRNA from 1 species
AGCUCCAAUAGCGUAUAUUAAAGUUGUUGCAGUUAAAAAGCUCGUAGUUGGAUUUCUGGCUUCAGCGAUCGGUCCUUCACUUGGUGGAGGUACUUGCAUCGUCUGGGGCCAUCCUUGGGAGAGAGCCCGUGUGGCAUUAAGUUGUCGGGCGGGGGAUCCCCAUCGUUUACUGUGAAGAAAUUAGAGUGUUCAAAGCAGGCUUCUGCCGUUGAAUACAUUAGCAUGGAAUAAUAAGAUAGAACCCUGGUGCUAUUUUGUUGGUUUCAGCACCUGAGUGAUGAUUAAUAGGGACAGUUGGGGGUAUUCGUAUUCAAUUGUCAGAGGUGAAAUUCUUGAAUUUAUGGAAGACGAACUACUGCGAAAGCAUUUACCAAGGAUGUUUUCAUUA